rnacentral:piRNA from 1 species
UCCACCAUGUGCUGCGAACUUUGCUGUUCA